AGCAGCAAAAUUUACCAAAUAUAAAAGAAAAACUAGAUUUCGUGGAAUCUUAUCUUCUAGGUUAUGACAACUAUGCAGAAGAUGAAAUAAAAGAAAUAAAACGUAAUUUUUCACUUUUUAAGUCCGAAAUAAAACAUCGAUGGGCUGCAGCACAGAAGAAAAAAACCAUUUUUAUCCAGAAAACGAUGCUUGGCUCAAGGGAACUAACGAUUCCUAGAACAAGGAAUCGACCAAGGCGACCAAUGAAGACAUUUGGUAAAUCAAGUGAGAGAUCCAAAAGAAGAAAACUUGGAGAUCUUUGGAUGUAGAAAUAUUCACUCAUGCUACUAGAGUGAAGUUAAGCGCUUGUGGAAAAAGGGCCGCUGCGAAAAUACUUAGACAUAGCCAGAUCACCAGGGCGAGGUCGAAAAUACAAGCGUGCUAUCUCUCUAUUCGUCAGCAGGAGAAAAAAGCCCAGAUGACACCAUUACGAGCUCUCGCUUUGUUUGUCGAGGCUGGUCUUUCUAGAAGCCAAUAUGAAAUUAUAAGAAGCGCUGAAAAGAAUUUAUAUCCCUACUACAGCAUUAUUCAACAUGCAAAAACGGAUUGUUAUCCAAAUAAGGAGUCAGUCCACAUCACAGAAACUUGUGCAGAAAUUAAUAUUCAAUCUUUACUUCAUGGGAUACAAAAUUCACGUGAACAAAUUUACCGAAUUUGCUAAUAAAACGGUAGAGCUUUAUGUACAACUAUAUCCAUGGUAUCCAAUGACACCAACCAUGCACAAAUUGCUCAUCCAGGGUCCAACAGUAGUAUAGCAUGCCCUUCUUCCUAUAGGUCAAUUAUCGGAAGAAGCCGCAGAAGCUCGAAACAAACACUUUCGGCUGUUUCGUCAUAGAUUUGCGAGAAAAUUUUCAAGGGUCUCUUGCAGCCGAGAUGUACUUAACAGAUUAUUGUUAACUUCAGAUCCGAUAAUAACUGGCAUAGGCCACAGCCAAGGAAAAAACAAAGCCCUUUUUAAAAGAAACUAUUGAUAUGCUGCUUCCUGCAGAACCUCACGAAGCCCAAUACGAAAAGGAUUUUGAGAAAUAAAGCGGAAAUGAUUGUGAAUUGUCUUCUGAAGAAGAAGAUACAUCUUCCGUUUGAACUGAAAUUGUUCAUACUUUUUCUAUUAUUUCAUUUUUUAUGCUACUUUUAUGUUCAGUUUUUAUUUUACUUGUAUUUUUGUUUGUUACUUUUAUAUGAAUAUAUAUAACUAAAACGUUUUAAAAAUAGAUAAUCUUAUUGAAAAAACAAGUAGAUAUUAUCACUAAAAAUGCAAUGAACUAAUUAUAUUGUGGAUUUACAACAGAUCAAACCACAAAAAUAAAUUUGGCCGCCCAGAUCGGUCAAAUGCCCCACUGUGCAGUGCACAUGUAUUUAUUGCAACAGGGAAGA
rnacentral:lncRNA from 1 species